CCAAGUUUCCAACUCACACAUUUAGGUAAAUGGACACAGACUGUGAGUUUGGAAUCAGAAGCAAUGCUUUUCCUUAAAGCUGUCAUAGUCCCAUCCCUUCAUCCACACCCUGUAUUCACACCCUUCUAUGCUAACUCUGGGCUUGGCUGUGAGAUUUGAUUUGAAAAAUGCUUGUGCCCUGGUGCUUGCCUUCUCCUGCUGCUCUUUGGAACCCUGAGUCUUUCAUGGGAACAAGCCUGGGCUUACCCACUGGAGGAAGAGAGGGCACAUGAAAUGGAGAUGAACCAUCCCAGCAGACAGAAGGAUUGUGCAGACGCGGAUUGUCCCCAGCCUGUCCUGCCUGAAGUCCAGAAGUUUCCACCAUAGCCCGUGAAUCCAUCCGUGCCUGACCAAGCUUCCUCCCUGGCCACACACCAUGUACCGCCUUGUCCGCCUGUGGCUCCAGCGUGCUGACCUUCUAUCUGCUCCUGGAUGUGCAACCAUGUCCCACUUUGGGAUUUUGCCCUUACCCUUCCUCCUUCAGGGCAGCCUGAGUUCCUAGAUUUUAGCAGCUUCAUCCUUGCUGUCCUUCACAUCUCCCCUCAGCCCUCUUGACAUCACAUGCAAGUCCAACAGGAAUAGUCUUUCUGCUACCUGAAUUUUAUUUUCUUCAUCACAUGGAUUACUGCUUGAAACCAUCUUAUUCAUUUGCUUAAUUGCACCCAAACUGGACUAUCUGCUCCACCAAUGCAGGGAUGUAAUUUGGGGUCUCCAGACUCCAGGAUGGUUCCUGACGCAUAAUACACGCUCAAAAACUAUUUUGUGGUUACAUCACUUUGCUGAUAAAGAUUCAUAUAGUCAAAGCUAUGCUUUUUCCAGUACUCAUGUAUGGAUGUGAGAGUUGGAUCAUAGAGAAGGUUGAGCACUGAAGAACUGAGGCUUUUGAAAUGUGGUGCUGGUGAAGACUCUUGAGAGUCCCUUAGACUGCAAGGAGAUGAAACCAGGCAAUCCUAAAGGAAACCAAUAUUCAUUGGAAGGACUGAUGCUGAAGUUGAAGCUCCAAUACUUUGGCUGCCUGAUGCAAAGAGGUGACUCAUUUUAAAAGACCCUGAUGCUGGGAAAGGUUGAAGGCAGGAGGAGGAGGUGACAAGAUGAGAUGGUUGGAUGGCGUCAUCAACUCAAUGGACAUGAGUUUGAGUAAGCUCUAGGAGACAGUGAAGGAUAGGGAAGCCUGGUAUGCUGCAGUUCAUGGAGUCACAAAGAGUUGGACGCAACUGAACAAAGAAUGAAUGAGAGGAGGAAGAAAAGAAGGGAAACAGUGGGGGAAGCACAUCCCUCAAAGGAUGAUUAUAGAGACUCCAUUGGACAACUCUCCUAAACGUCUCAUAUAGUGCCUGGUACUCAGGGAUGACUUAAUACACCAAUUAUUAUUCAGUUAUUAGCAUAGAAUAGUGGGCAGCGCACAUACGGAAGAAAGAAAAGCAAAAACAGUCGCGGCACUUUGCUUGAAUUCACCUGGCUUCUGAAGAGAACAUUGGAGGCCUCUAACAAGUAACAUCCCCCUUGGCUCCCCUGAAACUCUUGCUUGAAGCCAGUUCAGACCCCAAGGGUUUGGAGUUCAUUUUUUUUUUUUUUUUUUUU
ensembl:lncRNA